rnacentral:rRNA from 1 species
UACAGAGGUCUCAAGCGUUGUUCGGAUUCAUUGGGCGUAAAGGGUGCGUAGGUGGUAACGCAAGUCUGGUGUGAAAUCUCGGAGCUCAACUCCGAAAUUGCACCGGAUACUGCGUGACUCGAGGACUGUAGAGGAGAUCGGAAUUCACGGUGUAGCAGUGAAAUGCGUAGAUAUCGUGAGGAAGACCAGUUGCGAAGGCGGAUCUCUGGGCAGUUCCUGACACUGAGGCACGAAGGCCAGGGGAGCAAACGGG